ACCGAGGCUUCGGCCUCGGGGACAGCGGCGAACGGGUGAGUAACACGUGGAUAACCUGCCCUCGGCACCGGGAUAGCCCGGGGAAACCCGGAUUAAUACCGGAUGGCCCUUCCGACUCUCGAGUCGGUCGGAAAAGGUAGCUUCGGCCUCCGGCCGAGGAUGGGUCCGCGGCGGAUUAGCUUGUUGGUGGGGUAAUGGCCCACCAAGGCUCCGAUCCGUAGCUGGUCUGAGAGGACGAUCAGCCACACUGGGACUGAGACACGGCCCAGACUCCUACGGGAGGCAGCAGUGGGGAAUCUUGCGCAAUGGGCGAAAGCCUGACGCAGCGACGCCGCGUGAGGGAAGAAGGCCUUCGGG
rnacentral:rRNA from 1 species